rnacentral:rRNA from 1 species
UAAGUACCCUGAGGAAGAGAAAACAACAGUGAUUCCGUCAGUAGCGGCGAGCGAACGCGGAUUAGCCCAAACCAAGGAGCUUGCUCCUUGGGGUUGUAGGACGUCUCACAUGGAGUUACAAAGGUGUUGGCUAGACGAAGAGGUCUGGAAAGGCCCGCUAUAAGAGGUAAAAGCCCUGUAGUCCAAAGUCAGCACUCUCCGAGACGGAUCCUGAGUACCGCGAGACACGUGAAACCUCGUGGGAAUCCGGCAGGACCAUCUGCCAAGGCUAAAUACUCCCUAGCGACCGAUAGCGAAGCAGUACCGUGAGGGAAAGGUGAAAAGCACCGCGGAAGCGGAGUGAAACAGAACCUGAAACCGUGCGCUUACAAGAAGUCAGAGCCCGAUUUAGGGGUGAUGGCGUGCCUUUUGUAGAAUGAACCGGCGAGUUACGUUCCCAUGCAAGGUUAAGGUGAAGAGCCGGAGCCGCAGCGAAAGCGAGUCUGAAUAGGGCGACUUGAGUAUGUGGACGUAGACCCGAAACCGUGUGAUCUACCCCUGUCCAGGGUGAAGGUGCGGUAACACGCACUGGAGGCCCGAACCCACGAAUGUUGAAAAAUUCGGGGAUGAGGUGGGGGUAGCGGAGAAAUUCCAAUCGAACUCGGAGAUAGCUGGUUCUCCCCGAAAUAGCUUUAGGGCUAGCCUCGGUGUCAGAGUCGUGGAGGUAGAGCACUGAUUGGGUGCGGGGCCCGCCAAGGGUUACCAAGUCCAGUCAAACUCCGAAUGCCAUGUACUUAUAACCGGGAGUCAGACGGUGAGUGCUAAGAUCCAUCGUCAAGAGGGAAACAGCCCAGACCAUCAGCUAAGGUCCCCAAGUGUGUGUUAAGUGGGAAAGGAUGUGGAGUUGCAAAGACAACCAGGAUGUUGGCUUAGAAGCAGCCACCAUUUAAAGAGUGCGUAAUAGCUCACUGGUCGAGUGACUCUGCGCCGAAAAUGUAACGGGGCUAAACACACCACCGAAGCUAUGGCUUGAUCGCAAGAUCAGGGGUAGGGGAGCGUCGUGUAUAGGUAGAAGUCAGACCGUAAGGACUGGUGGACGGUACACGAGUGAGAAUGCCGGUAUGAGUAACGAAAAGACAAGUGAGAAUCUUGUCCGCCGUAAGCCUAAGGGUUCCUGAGGAAGG